UACUCCAAAUUUCAUGAUUAAACUUUGACCAAUCUAGUUUAGAAUCAUCUAGAGGUCCUAAAUAUCUCAUUUACAAGAGAUUUAAUCCAAACUCUAGCUUAAAUCAUGAAAUCUCACUUUGACUACAUAGCCUUCCAAGCUAAAUCCACCAUUAGAGAGCUCCUUCAAGCUUCUUCUCCCCUUGAAGCUUCCAAAACCUCAAUUUCUCCUCCAACUAAUUCUCUUUGGUGGAGAGAUUACAAGAGAGGGAGAGAG
rnacentral:lncRNA from 1 species